ACAUUCAGAAAGAAAUAUUCAGUGCAAUUUAAACAUCGUCUGGUUAUAAAUAAUGUGACUGCUGAUGAAUUAGGAGUUUAUUACUGUAUAAACACUGAUACACCUCCAAAAUUCAGCAACGGCUCCAGACUGUACUUCACCGAACCAGUUCAACUGUCUGAGUGUCACAAUCAUACAAUGAUUGAGUUUAAUGAUCAGAAUCAAACACAAUGUCUGACUAUUAUCAUCAUAUCUGCUCUGAUGAUCGGUCUUCUGCUCAUUGUGCUGAUCGUGUUUGCUGUUGGAAAAACAGAACGGUUGGAAAAACACAUUGAUGAUGCUGAUCUACUGCAGACACGAGUGAUAUAUCAGCUUCAAGACCAAAACCAAAUACUUUCACAAUAAAGUAAAUCAUGUGUCAGCAUCAGAAAACAUCAGUUUAGGACUGUAUGAACACUGAUAGAUUAAGUGUCAUUGUAACACGAUCUUUCAUUUGUCAAGUCUAUUAUGAAGACCUAGUUCAUUUAAUUGCAUUAAACAAAUUUAAAAAGGUGUUUGUAUUCUUUAAAUAUGUUUUGUAUUCUUUGUUUGUUAUAAAAAUAAAAAAAAA